AAGAUUCUUUGGAUGUGCGCUCCGGCUGCACUCCGAAUCCCACCCCACACACCUGUGCGCCUCGAGUGGGGAGACCCGCUCGCCUUUCACAUAACACAAGUAAACCCGAAUGUCUUAUACCAUAAUUUAAUA
rnacentral:misc_RNA from 1 species